UGUGGUCAGCUCACCUGAGCUAGUGAAACAAGUGGUUCGUGACUAUGACACAACAUUUGCAAACCGUGAUCCUACAAUUGCUGCUCUGAUUGCCUCAAAUGGAGGAACCGACAUCGCGUUUGGAUCCUACGGUCCAUAUUGGAGGAAGCUGCGCAAGAUGUUUGCGAGUCAGAUGCUAAGCAAAACCAAUCUUGAUGAUUGUUAUGCUCUGAGAAAAGAGGAGAUGCACAAGUCGAUCGGUCAGGUUUAUCAUGACAAAAUUGGAACCCCAACUGACUUGGCCCAGUUUGCAUUUUCCACAUCAAUCAACACAACCAUGCGUAUGCUAUGGGGUGCCACUCUACAAGGAGAGAAGGGGGGUGACUUUGGGGAAGAGUAUAGAAAAGUUGCGGCAGAAAUGAUAGACCUACUCGCAAAACCAAACAUCUCGGACUACUUUCCUGCGCUUGCAAGGUUUGACAUACAAGGAAUAGAGAGGCAAGCAAAGAAAGUUCAAUCCAAGAUUGACAAGAUUCUAACUUGUGCCAUAGAAGAAAAGAUGAAGAAGCUGGCCUCAGCUGAGAACAAUAACAGGAAGGACUUUCUGCAGUUCCUCUUGGAGAACACUAACACUCCUGAAGAUGGUUCACUAUCCCUUACGGUGCAACAACUGAAGGGCACGCUCACGGUAUGGUAUCUUAACUUUUGGCUAAUUGUUUGUUUGGAACUUGGAAGUUGUUUUUUUUUUAUCGUAUCAAGUUUCAUAAGUUACGGUUUAUAUCAACUGCAGGAUAUUGUGGUGGGUGGAACUGACACUACGGCAACAGUAGUGGAAUGGGUUCUGGCUGAGCUGAUGCAGCACCCAGAAGAAAUGAUAAAAGUUCAAGAAGAACUAACACAAAUUGUGGGGUUGAACAACUUGGUUGAAGAGUUUCAUUUGCCUGACUUACAUCACUUAGAUGCUGUGAUCAAGGAGACGUUUCGCUUGCACCCUGUACUCCCCCUUUUAGUGCCCCGGUGUCCAACCCAAUCUACCACCAUUGGUGGCUAUUACAUACCAAAAGGUUCCACUGUUUUUCUGAAUGCUUGGGCCAUACAGAGAGAUCCAAGUGUUUGGGAAGCUCCCUUGGAAUUUAGACCCCAGAGAUUCCUAAAUCCUAGCAAUAAGUUUGAUUACUUGGGUAAUAAGUUUCAGUUUCUUCCAUUUGGUUCAGGGAGAAGAAUUUGUCCUGGGAUUUCCUUAGCAGAGAGGAUGCUAAUCUAUGUAUUGGCUUCAUUCUUGCAUUCGUUCGAUUGGAAAUUGCCUAAUGACGAAAAGCUUGACCUCUCAGACAAAUUUGGACUUGUGACAAGGAAGAAGACUCCACUUACUGCUGUACCAACAGCCAGGUUAUCCAAUUUGGAGCUCUAUGCUUAAAAGCAUUCGCCUAAGUGCGAAUUUUAAACAUGCAGCAAGCACUUAUCUUAGCUAUAGGAGUUUCUGCUCCAACUGUUCCCUAAUUCUUAAUUCUACUGUGCUUCUAUAUAUAUGUUGUAACGAAAACAGUGCACCCGGUGCGCCGCUCACCCAUCCAUCUCCGCCGUCCAUUUUGAAAAAGUCAAAAAUCCGCGUCAAAUGGACGGCGGAGAUGGACGAGUGCGCUGAAUAUGCUCUCAUGUUGUAAGAAUAAAUGGAGAAAGUAGGAUAAUAAACAUAUUUUCUGGUUUCUCUAUGCUUGGCUAUAUAUGUUUCUGACUUUCUGCUCCAACCAACUGCAGUACAUAUUCUUAUGUGGUUAAGCAAUUGCAGAAUGGCUACAACUACAGGUAACAUGACUAAAACUAUGAGUGUUCGACCCAGUGAAAAGAAAACUGUUGAGACUGAAAAUAAUCGUUUUUCGACUUCUGAGGUACAAAGCCAUUUCUUUGCGUCUUCUUCAGUAAAUGGUGAGAUGUUACGGUAAAUUAAUGGACUGUUGAUGAGGUUACAGCUUGCCAAACAUCGAUCAUGAGGGUAGCUGCAGCCAUAUAUCUAUCAGAGAAAGUCAUGUCAUCCCUCGGAAGCUAAUUUCAAACUGGAAGAUCAUAGAUCGAUGAAAGCAGAGGAAAUCCAACGCCGUAUAUAACUACAGCGUAGACAAAUCUAGAAUUCUAGAUAGGCCAUAUAUCAUAUAUGGCAUGCCAAUUUGCAAGCUAGUGCAGUUGAUCAUGGAAGCGCAAUGGAUAACGACCAGUAUAUAACGUAGCCUUAACCAUUCUUAUACGCAGCCAAUCCAGCUACAGUGGUGUUUUCACUAGAUGGAAAUCCAUACCUUAUCUCAAUGAUCCCAAUGACCAUAAAGACUUCACUCUCACCUUAUCUCUAAUCUCAUUUUCUUCCCACCAGGAAAAAAGAAAAGCUUAUCUUUCAUUCUUUCAUUUACAACCAGACUAACCUGCUGAAUACAAAAAACAAAACAGUGGGAGUUUACUUAGUAAUGGGGUCAUCACAGUCUAGCAAUCAUGACAAAGAUGAAAACCUUACAGCAAUUCUCACACUUUUGUUCAUGGUGUUUACUCUGCUCUGGUACUUCUGGAUUUGGAAGAAACCGAGCAGAAACCCUUUGCCUCCAUUGCCACCAGGACCUCGUGGUCUGCCGCUACUCGGAUACCUUCCAUUUCUUGGUGCAGAUCUUCACCUAGAAUUUACUGACAUGGCAAGGGUUUAUGGUCCAAUUUACAAACUCAAACUUGGUACCAAGUUGUGCGUUGUGAUCAGCUCACCUGAACUUGUGAAACAAGUGGUUCGUGACCAUGACGCAACAAUUUCCGACCGUGAUCCUUCAAUUGCUGCUGUUAUCUGCUCAUUUGGAGCAUCCGACAUAGCAUUUGGAUCGUAUGGUUCAGAUUGGAGGAAGCUGCGCAAGGUGUUUGUGAGUCGGAUGAUGAGCAAAACCAACCUUGAUGAUUGCUAUGCUCUGAGAAGGGAGGAGGUGCACAAGUCGAUCAGUCAUAUUUAUCAUGACAAAAUUGGAAUCCCCACUGAUUUGGGCCGGGUUGCAUUUUCCAUAGCAAUCAACUCAACUAUGCGUAUGCUUUGGGGUGCUACUCUACAAGGGACUGAUUUCAGUGAAGAUUAUAGGAAAUUGGUGGCAGAAAUGAUGGAUCUAUUUGUGAAACCAAACAUUUCUGACUAUUUUCCUGCGGUUGCAAGGUAUGACAUACAAGGAAUUGAGAGGCAAGCAAAGAAGGUUCAAUACGAGAUUGACAAGAUUCUAAGUUGGGCCAUAAAAGAACGGAUGAAGAAUGGGGGAUUACAGCAAAAACAGGACAGGAAGGACUUUCUGCAGUUCCUCUUGGAGAACAACAAUAAUAAUCAUGAAAAUGGUUCGACGUCCCUUACAAUGCAACAACUGAAAGCCUUGCUCAUGGUAUAGUAAUCUAACUUUUGGCUUAUUCCUUGCAUGGAAGAGUAGUGGUAAUUUGUCUCAGUAUUAAGUUACAUUGAAUCAAUAAAUUACCGCCAUAUAUGAUGAUUAACAGGAUAUUGUGGUGGGUGGAACGGACACCACAGCAACAACGAUAGAAUGGGUGAUGACAGAACUGAUGCAGCACCCAGAAGAAAUGAGAAGAGUUCAAGAAGAACUAAGAGACAUUGUCGGGUUGAACCAGUUGGUUGAAGAGUUUCAUUUGCCGAAAUUACAUCACUUAGAUGCUGUGAUCAAGGAGACAUUACGCCUGCACUCGGUUGUGCCUCUUCUGCCUCGGCGUUCAAAACAAUGUACCACCAUUGGUGGCUAUCAGAUACCAAAAGGUUCGACUGUUUUUCUCAAUGUUUUGGCCAUACACAGAGAUUCAAGUGUCUGGGACAAUCCCUUGGAAUUUAGACCCCAGAGGUUCCUCAACACGGAUCCAAGCAACAGCUUUGAUUACCAGGGCAAUAAGUUCCAAUAUCUUCCCUUUGGUUCAGGGAGGAGAAUAUGUACCGGGAUUCCUUUAGCAGAAAGGAUGAUAAUCUAUGCCUCGGCUUCACUCUUGCAUUCGUUCGAUUGGAAAUUGCCUAAUGAAGAAAAGCUUGACCUUUCAGACAAAUUUGGGAUUGUGACAAAGAAAAAGACUCCACUUAUUGCUGUACCAACAGCCAGGUUAUCCAAUUUGGAGCUCUAUGCUUAAAUGCUCCCUAAUUCUUAAUUCUAGUGUGCUUCGACAUAUAUGUUGUAAGAACAAAAAAGAAGGAAAAUAAGCAUAUGUAUUUGCUGGUUUCUCUAUGUGGUUAAGCAAUUGCAGAAUGGCAACAACUACUACAGGCAACAUGAAUACAUGAUAUCAGAUAACCUUUCAUCUCUCUAAUUUUGUUAGAAGAAAUUAUAUAUGUGCAAAGUCCAAAUGUGAGAGAUAUUUAGAAGCUGAAUAAAUAGACGAACCUGAGUAACAGAGCAUUUGCCCAACAAGCUUUGUCUGCCCAAAAUCACAAACAAACGCAAUUGAUAUUCCCAUAUAUAGCUAGCUGUACCUUAGAGCUCGUUCUGGUAAGCCACAGCAACUCUUGCUGUACCUAAAGAAAAGGAGUGAAAUACAAUUAGAAUUUACUGGUUCUAAUUAUUAGACCUGAAUUGAAAUCUGAAAUGGAUAAUUGACGAACCCAAGAGGUGGCCGAAGGCGUCACGGCAAGCGUCGUACACCAAGGAGGUGUACUGGCCGUCCGAGCAACACUGAUUUUUCAUCUCAAAGAAAUAGGAAAGGAUUCUAGUUCGGCGGAGAAACGAAGCAUGCAUGUAGUUGGGCUGGGCCUAGCGGGCCGAGGGGUCCAUCGUUUGCAGAACAAAAAGACUGAAACUAUGAGUAUUCGACCCAAUUGAAAAGGAAUCUGUUGAGACUGCAAAGAAUCCUUUAUCAAUUUCUGAGGUACAACUUCUUCUCUGCCGUUUCUCUGUGUCUGCUUCAGUAAACGGUGAGAGGUUACGGACUUACGGUAAAUUAACGGACUCUGUUGAUGAAGUAUAUAUUUUUCUUACUGUUCUCAACAGAUUGCCAAAAAUUUGAGGGUAUAGCUAUU
rnacentral:lncRNA from 1 species